UAGGGAAUAUUGGGCAAUGGAGGCAACUCUGACCCAGCCAUGCCGCGUGCAGGAAGACGGUCCUCUGGAUUGUAAACUGCUUUUGAAUGGGAAGAAUGUGUGGCUUGCGAGCUAUAAUGACGGUACCAUUAGAAUAAGCCACGGCUAACUACGUGCCAGCAGCCGCGGUAAUACGUAGGUGGCGAGCGUUAUCCGGAUUUAUUGGGUUUAAAGGGUGCGUAGGCGGCUUUAUAAGUCGGUGGUUAAAAGUAGCAGCUUAACUGUUUUACAUGCCAUCGAUACUGUUUAGCUUGAGAUAUUUGGAGGCAGCUAGAAUUUCCGGUGUAGCGGUGAAAUGCAUAGAUACCGGAAGGAAUACCAAUUGCGAAGGCAGGUUGCUACGAAUAAACUGACGCUGAUGCACGAAAGCGUGGGGAUCAAACA
rnacentral:rRNA from 1 species